AUACAAAACAAUGAUGUGAUAAUUUCCAAACACAUAUCUGAUGAUUCUACGUGAUAUUCAACUAUUACUUUCAAGUUUUGGCAAU